rnacentral:rRNA from 1 species
UACAGAGGGUGCGAGCGUUGUUCGGAAUUAUUGGGCGUAAAGAGCGUGUAGGCGGUUUGGUAGGUCCGCUGUGAAAACUCGAGGCUCAACCUCGAGACGCCGGUGGAAACCAUCAGACUAGAGUCCGGAAGAGGAGAGUGGAAUUCCUGGUGUAGCGGUGAAAUGCGCAGAUAUCAGGAAGAACACCCGUGGCUAAGGCGGCUCUCUAGUACGGUACUGACGCUGAGACGCGAAAGCGUGGGGAGCGAACAGG